AUUGUGCUUGUUGGAGUAAUUGGACAGAUUCUGAUGGCCUGACGAUAAAUGGAACAAGCUUGUGGCGAUGACGGUACUGCAUGAACCCUUCAGUACCCAAAAUUUUUGUGAAUCCAUCUGCCAAUUGUUCGAUUGUUGGUACAUACUCAACUCUAAAAUAUUCCUUUAUUAAUUAGUUCUCGUACAAAAUAAUAGCUAAUCUCUAUGUGUCUGGAACGUGAAGUGAUUGCUGGAUUUUUAGCCAUGAAUAUGGCUGAUUUACUGUCACAUAGUAGUGUUGGGGGAAAACUUAAUUUUAUUUCCAAUUCUCUAAAGAGGUAGUAGAACCAUCUAACAUCUGAUGUUACAUGAGUCAUGGCCUUAAAUUCUGCCUCAGCACUCGAGUUUGAUACUGCCGGUUGCUUUUUAGCAGACCAAGAGAGUAAAUUGUUUCCAUACCAUAUGCUUGACCCUGUUAUUGACCUCCUAUCAGAUGAUCCUCCCCAGUCUGAAUCUGUAUAGGCAAUUAAAUCCAUUCUCUCGUUAAUUCCUUAGUAAUCUGUAGACCUAAAUUAGAAGUCCCUUGUAGGUAUCUCAGUAUUCUUCUUACUGCCAUUAAGUGGCCUUCUUUAGGAUUUUGUAAAAAUUGACAUACUUGAUUUCUGAUGAGUGAGAAGUAUUGUAAACUCUCCACCUUGCUUCUAUAGAUUGUAAUAUCAUCUAAUGGAUUUCCCAUGUCUUGAUGUAACUUUGUAGAUAGAAUCAUUGGUGUUCUAACUGGAUUAGAAUGCUUAUAGACAAACCUUUUUAAUACAUCCUUUGCAUAUUUUUCUUGUCAUAGUACUAUAUUCUCUUCUUGAUAGAUACACUGAAUUCCCAAGAAAAAACUUAAUUUUCCCAUGUCUCUACAUUUGAAUGUUUGACAUAGUUUCUUCACCACUUCAUCUAUUUCUUCUUCAUUUGUUCCUGUGAUGACAAUGUCAUCCACAUACACCAAUAUUAACAGUUUGUGAUCACCCUUUACUUUGUAAAACAAUGAUGCAUCAGCAUUGGAAUUUGUAAAUUUAUUGGAAAUUCACUCCUUCUUGGUUAUACCCUUGAGCUACUAGUCUAGCUUUACAUCUUUCCACACUUCCAUCAUGCUUCCUUUUUACUUUAUAUAUCCAUUUAGAUCCUAUGACAUUCAUAAAUUCUUCUUUUGGUACCAAUACCCAUGUAUCGUAUUCUCUUAUUGCUUUCAUCUCUUCCUCCAUUGCCUCUUUCCAGCAUUUCUGUUUAUUAGCCCGUGAGAAACAAUUUGGCUCCACAAUAUCAUCAGUAAUAGUUAUAUUAUUAUUGCAUUUAUCAGAAGUCAUAUCAAAGUUUUUAUAUAAUAUAUUUGGGAAUUUAAUCCAUUAUGAUCUUCUUAAGUCUAGAAGAGGGGAACUACUCUGACCUUGAGUGUCCAGAGUAGCGGAUGGAUUUAUACUUGGAUUAAAUUCCAAGUUAAUCCCAUUCUCAGUGUUUGGAUUAACAAUUACUGGGGCAGGUUCCAUAUUGUUAUUUGACCUAAUUACGCUUGACUCUAUGGAUGAAUUUUGAACUUCAGUUUGACUUGGUGGAUUUUGAGGAUGAGUUAUAUCUCUGUUAAAAAGUGAAUCAGAAGGUUAGGUGUUUUCAAUCUGUUAAUUAAGUAUGCAGCAGAUGAGAAUACCUCCUGCCAGUAUUCUUGAGGAAUGCCUGCUUUUUUCAUUAAGCAUCUUUCAACUUCAAUUAUUUGUUUGUCUCCUUUCCACUAAUCCAUGUUGUUGUGCUGUAUAAGUGCAUGAUAAUUUAUGGUUUAUCCCUUGUUCUUCUAAAUAUCUUUUAAAUUUAGAAUUUAGAAAUUUCUUUAAUUUUCAUCCCCAAAUAAUUUUCUAUUAAUUUGUGAAAUUUAGUAAAAAUAGAGAAAAAUUCAGAUUUAUUGCUCAUUGGAUAAAACCAUAUAAACCUUGUAUAUUCAUCAACUAUUGAUACAUAAAAUCUAAAGUUUGCAACAGAUGUUGUAGGUGAUGGUCCCCACAGAUCUAUAUGUAGAGUUCUUAAGGGUGUGGAAGCUCUUAUUUCUCUUCUAUUGAACGGUUGUUGAUGUGCUUUCCCCAGGGGAAAGACUUGACAAAACUUCAUUUUGUUUCCCUGUUUAUCCUGAAUUUGUAAUUCUGGUUCAGUUUUCUUCAACACAGCUUCUGAUGGAUGCCCUAAUCUGUCAUGUCAUCUAUCCUUUGUAGUCUUUAUACCAUAGAAAGCUUUGUCAUCUAGAUAGAUGUAAUAGAGGCCUUCUGAGCUACUGCCAGAAAAUAGUAUCUCCAUAGUGACCUGGUCCUUGAUAAAAAAAAAUUUAUCAUUAAAAUGAUUAAGAAAUUUAAGUUUCUAGAUAACUUUUGAAUAGACAUAAGGUUCUUCUUUAACCCGGGUACACACAAAACUCCUUCUAAAUUGUAAUCUUUUCCUUUAAAUUUCAAUGUUACUCUAACUCUAUAUUUAACAUGUAAGUAAUCUCCACUCCCAACUAUUACAUAUUGUGUACCUGGAGCUGUUUCAUAGGCUGUGAAGGCAGUUAGGUCUGGUGUCAUAUGACUGGAUGCUCCUGAAUCAAGGCACCAUGCUGAAUCAUCCAAUGUAGUGGUUGCUGAUAUUGCCAUUUCAGAAGAUGGAAUCUGUUGGUAAUUCUCUGUAUAUGCUGGAAUUGUUGGUUGUUGGAUUGCUGCAUAGGCUGGAUAUGUAUAUUCUGUUGUGUAUGCUGGUGCUGGUGGAGGUAAGUGUGGUGGUAUAUUAGUUGUACUAGUAUUCAGUGCUGAGAAAUUAUUGUAAUCUGGGCACUGUUUAGCUAGGUGACCUUUCUUGUCACAUAUCUGGCAACUUUGUGAUUGAUCAAUGGAAGAAGGUGUUUUGAGUAUUGGUGGUAAUUGAGGCUUUUGUUGUUAUUGUGGUGGUGGUGGUGGUAUCAUGUUAGCUCUUGGGUAUUGGUGAUAAUUUUGUUGUUGUUGAUUAGAGUAAAAUGGUCUGUAAUUAGGGUGUGAAUUGUAGUUUGGUCUAUAGUUGUAAUUUGGUCUGUAGUUAUAGUUUGGUUGAUAAUUUUGAGGUGCUGAAUGGUAAUUUGGAUUGUGGUAGUAAUUGGGAUUGGGAUUAUAGUUAUAAUUGUAGUUUGUGUUGUUCCCCCUAUAGUUGGGUGAAUAACCUCUAGUUAGGAUUGUUUCCUCUAUAGUUAGGACUGUGGCCUCUAUAUCCUGUAUUUGCAACCAUAGCCACUGUGACUUUGGAUUGGCUGUCCUCUAUUCUUUUUAUCAACAAUUCUUCACCAAGCAGCAUAUCUGCUAAUUCAUCAAAUGUAGGCACUUGUGCUCUAUUUCUUAUUGUUGUCAGUAAACAUCUAUACUCAAACCACAAGCCACCUAAUAUGUAAUCCCUCAAGCAAUUAUUAUUUAAAGUUUCUCUUGUAGCAUCUAGGGAUUCGACCAGUCCCUUUACCCUCACAAUGUAUUCUUGCAUUGUUUCUGUGGUGACUUUCUUCAAUGCCCUUAACUGUUCUUUUAUCACGGUUACUUGAGCGUUACUAGUUGGUGAUAGUAAUUUUUCCAAACUUGUCCACCCAUCAUAUGCAAACUUACAUUUUAGCUUUGACUAUAAAGAAAGUAGAAAAAUAGUCUCAGACUAUAAAGAAAGUUAACGAACCCAUGUUAGCUUUGACGACUCCAGACAGGGUCACCAGCCUAUAAAGUGUGUCAACGACCCCAAGAAGAGUCAUUGAACCCAUGGCAAGUUUGAAGACUCCAACUAGGGUCUCUGACCUAAAAUAGAUUCGAUGACUCUAGGGACAUUCAUCAAACCAUGUGGUAACCGCCCACUAAGUCGAAAGUUUCCAAAGCCUUACCUAUAAAUGCAUGUUGUUAUUGUGAAAAAUUGAAUUUAUAAGGUGUUUACGUAAUUCAUUUCAUACUAAGGAUGAAUGAAAGCAACUAAUUCAAUAAUCUGAAUUUUAUUACAG
rnacentral:lncRNA from 1 species